AUUGAACGCUGGCGGAAUGCUUUACACAUGCAAAUCGAACGGCAGCACGGGGCAACCUGGUGGCGAGUGGCGAACGGGUGAGUAAUACAUCGGAACGUGCCCAAUCGUGGGGGAUAACGUAGCGAAAGUUACGCUAAUACCGCAUACGAUCUACGGAUGAAAGCGGGGGAUCGCAAGACCUCGCGCGAAUGGAGCGGCCGGUGUCAGAUUAGGUAGUUGGUGGGGUAAAGGCUCACCAAGCCGACGAUCUGUAGCUGGUCUGAGAGGACGACCAGCCACACUGGGACUGAGACACGGCCCAGACUCCUACGGGAGGCAGCAGUGGGGAAUUUUGGACAAUGGGCGCAAGCCUGAUCCAGCCAUUCCGCGUGCAGGAUGAAGGCCUUCGGGUUGUAAACUGCUUUUGUACGGAACGAAACGGUGAGCUCUAAUACAGUUUGCUAAUGACGGUACCGUAAGGAUAAGCACCGGCUAACUACGUGCCAGCAGCCGCAGUAACAC
rnacentral:rRNA from 1 species